rnacentral:lncRNA from 1 species
AGUGCCCAGCUGUUUUUCACAGGACUCAAGGAACAGAAGGUGGGGUCCGUCUUGUCCCUGCAGGGUAGAGUCCAACACAACAUCAACAGUUGGGGGGCUGUCCCAAAGCUCCUCGACCUCACCGGAUCUCUUAAACAGAAGAAUCAAAGCAACGAGGGGAACCUCGGCAUCUUUAUUGAUGAUGCUAUGUUUGGGCUCCGGCUAAGGGACAAACACGUGUUGGGGAACAGCAGCACACGCAGCGUGAGCUGUGUGAUGAUUCAGAAUGGCAGUCAGGCCAUCCCUGAGGAACUUAAGCUGAGGGGACAAUUGCAGACCCAACCUAAUGGCUAUCAUGCCCAUGUUACCCUUCACGCAGAGGAGACCAUUUUGUCCCUGGGCACAGCCUGCAUGAUAGCUCCAGGGCACAGACAGCUCUCUGCCAAUCUGUCCCACAACAGUGACACCUUAAAAAGUUCAGGACUGCCGACGAGUGGAGAGCUUCUGUUCUCCCACACCUACCGUGCUCCCAACCACAGGCUGACUCUGGGGCUACAGAGCAAUGGACACCAUCUUGAUGCUGCCUUGAGAGUAGAAAAUCCUGGGGAAUUCUCAGAGGCCCAGAUCACUGCAAACCUGAGCCACAAUGUCGAGGACUUCAGGCAACUUGGAAUCCCUUUUUCUGUUGAAGGAGACUGUUAUUAUCAAAACUCUGGCUCCAGGCUGGUGGCUGGCAUGAAGGCUGGGUUGGAUGGGGAGCACCUUCACUUGGCACUGGAGAGAAAGAAGAAUGGAGGCCGUUCAGAGGAGGUGGUUCUUGGGCUACAGCACAGUGUUCCUGGACUCAUUGGUGUGGUGCCCUCCAGGUUCCAGGUCAGCUGCAGCGGGGAAGCCUCCUCCAGCCAGCUGUCCGGCCACUGCAGCGGGGACAUCUCCCACCGUCCGUUUGAGGUACAGACUUCCUUCUCAGCCAUGGGGUCCCGUAGAUGUGGUGCAGUGAGGUUCAACUAUUGCCGGGACAGCCUGAGCGCGAGCAGCUGUCACAGCAGGGGACGUGGGCAGGAAGUCGCAGCAGAGCUGGUGCACACAUUCUCCCACCUCCGUUUGCUUCACAUCCCAAGAGAUGUGAAGGUCAGAGCCUUGCUCAGGUGUCAGCCCGGUAGACUGAAGGCCAGGCUAAAUCUAACGGCAGAGGGAUGGGGGAUCCACACCCACUUAGAUGUUCAAAACUCAUCAGGCUUCAAAAAGAGCAGAGUAACUUCCUCUCCGAGGGGGCAGACUGAUGUGCUUCUCAUCAACUGUACCGCAGACACCCGGAGGGUCCCCAAGCCACGUUGCCAUGGUUUUGAAGGGCAUGUCCAUGCCUCCCUUGACAGGAGAGGUGUACUACUCUCAGCAAGAACUCACUGGCAGGGCUGGGGCAUAGCCAAGGUCAAGUUGCUCCAGGAUCUAUCACAAAAAAAGAAACCACAGAAUUUAGGCAGGAGGUGGUCAAUCACAUUAUAUGCAAAAGCAAAAAAUAAAAAGAUUAAGGGCAGCUUGAAAGUUCGGAGAAAUCAAGAUUCUUUCCAUACAAGCGGGUUUAUCUGGCUGCUGGAUCGUGGGGCCAGGAUGAACUGGACUUGGGAGCACCAGUGGAGACAGCUGAGCACUCUCCCUGUGCCUUCAAGUGUACAGCUAGUGGGGUGGGUGACCUACAGCCCAACGUCGCUCAUUAGCAAGGUCCGAGUCACGGUGGGGGGCCAGCCCCUGAGAGGGGAGCUGCUGACCUCCUGGGGGAGGAAGACAGAGCUGAGGAUGCUGCUGCACCACGCCAUCCUGAGCUGGCUGCAGGCCGGCAUUCCUGAGAGAACCUGGCUCCAUGGAGCAGCUCGGCUGGGGGGCCGGGCAGACCUGAGUCUGGAGAUGCUGAGUGGAUCCUGCAGGGCGUCCGGUGUGGGGCAACAAGGGAGGAGACCACCCGGGCAGUGGAGGCUGGCCCUCCGUGGUCACUGUCCCUACUUCCAGAGUCCAGCCAUGCUGUCCCUGAAUGGUUCCCUUCUAGUACAUGGUUGCAAGGCCAGGCUGGCUGGAUACCUCUCUUCUGGUGAAGCCUUUACCCACAUCCACUUGUACACUUUCUGUGGUCUCCACAACCACUUGGAAGCCCAACUUCAACAAUCGUGGCCUCUACUCAAAGGACUGGGAAUUGCCGAAGAGAAUCUUUUCAGGGUAUCAACUACAGGUGGAGAUGCACCAAAGGUGCUACUAGAAAUGACCAUCGGCCCAUGUUCUAUGAUGGCAGAUGGAGAUGUCAGGAUGGAAAGCAACAGAACUCAAACCAACUGGACCCUCUUUCUGGAGAAUCAUUGCCCUACAAUAGAGAAAGCAGGCUUUCCACAGAGUCUGGCCACCAGGGGUUCCCUCAGGAUUGAGCCCUGUGAUAGUGAUCUCACCAUGGCCCUCCAGAGUGAUGAAGGAGAUGCUCAUGUGCACUUAGCAACUUCCUGCAGACAAAAACCCUUGGUGCAAGGAAGCCUGCACCAUUCCUUGAGGUCCCUGACCCAUCUGGGGCUGCCCCCCAGCAGCACCAUCUACCUGCAGACAGGGUUGGGCUCUGUCCCACAAAGUUCCUUUAUUCUCCAAGUUGGGCAGUGUCGGCUCCUGGGAACAAUAGAGCUCCAGCCCAGGAACAAAACCCAAUGGGUACUUGAUACAGAGACAGACUGUGACAUACUGCAGGACCUUGGGAUCCCCGCCCGGAUGCACCUCAAUGGAUCAGCUCAGGUGGCCGACAGUCAGGUCAAGCUGCUCUGCAGUCUGCUGAUGGAUGGCCCGGCAGCUUUCUUGGAACUCAGGGGGGCAUGGCAACCCCAGCUCACCAUCCGGGCCACGUUCAGGCACACCUUGCCGGCAUUCUGGGCCAUCCCACAGGAGACCAAGCUGUCUUUCCAAGCUGGCAAACAGGCCAAAUACCAGCUGAGCCUGACCCUGAGAUCUGGAGCCUGUGAACUCCAAGCUAAUGGGGAUCUGCAGCUGGAGAAGAAGUUCCAGUGGAGGGCCCUGGUUGAGAAUUUCUGCAAAGCGAUGCAGGCUCUUGGGAUCCCAGGUCGGAUUGAUGGCUCUGGCUAUGUGGUGGUGAACAAUAUGGAUCUGGAUGCUCAGAUGUUGGUCACUGUAGAUGACAGCACAGUGAGAGGCCUUCUUAUCCUGAAGGCCACUGAGACACAUCAAGAGCUAGACAUGCUGUUCACCCACAACCUCCCUGAUGCUAUCCACUUUGGCAUCCCAGCUCGGAUCCUGGUGGAUGUGACCACAGUGAGAAGUAAUCAUAGUUACAGGCGUACCAUCCGGUUUGGAAUGGACAACAAGCAGAUUUCUGAAGAGCUCGGUUUCACUCAACAGUCAGACUAUGUUUCCCUUGACUACAAAAUCCGACACAACAUCCUGACAUUACAGGCAUUGGGGCUGGAAGACAGGAUAGACUUGCAGGUAUCUCUGGACCACCAAGCAGCCAAGAACUUGAGUGUCAGAGCCCAAUAUGGCUCAGGGAUCAUCACCUUUGGAGGCCAAAGCUGGAGCACCACAGCCAAACACUCCUGGUCUGGGACCUUCUGGCAUAACUGGCCUAUGUUGUUGCAGUGUGGACUUCCAGAAUCGCUUCAGGUUGUGAUGUACUUCCAAGGAAUCGAUUCCAACAUUGACAGUUCUGUGAACAUUCUGGUGGGGCAGACCUCUCUCAACUACACCAUGAGUUGUUUUUAUGCCAGACAGCAAAUAGAGUUCUCUUGUUGGAGCAAACAUAACAGCAGUGCUCUCAGGCAAGGAACUGGCUACCCGGAGGUGGUCGGCUUUACUGUAGUGCUACAGACACAAGAAACACAAACCCAGGGCAGCGUGAACAUCCAGGGAGGGGACAGGAAAAUCAGUGUCAAUGUGGCAGCUCUGGCAGCCUUGGAACUAAAUGGGACCCUCGAGCUUGUGGCCCAUAUCCAACACACAGUGCCAAUUCUCAGGCAGCUGGGCCUGCCCUUCACAAGCCAGUUGUUAUUCCAAGAAAUCUUGGCAGCCAGUGAAAUGAAAACAUCCUUGGAGGUGACCUGUGAGAACCAAACAAGUCUCCUCAUCCAUGUGAGGGGAAGGAAUCAACCACUCAGCAAAGAACUACAUGUUACCAGCCAACAGCAUCUCUCCUUCCUCUUCAACCACUUCCCCAGAAAAGCCAAACUUUCCACCAAGGUAAGUUAUUCUACAAGUGGAGCUGAAAACAUGAUUGCUGUUGACCUGGAAAAGCAUCAUUUCCACAUGGCCACAAAGCUGACAUUUGCUGCAUCCAACUUCACUCAAGUGACUGAGCUGAUGCAUACAAUUCCCCAGCUCAAAAUGAUCCCCUGGGAAAUGGUGCUUCUGACCAUGUGUCAGAAAGCCAAUGGGACAAGAACCAUCCAACAAUUGGUGCUAUGGGGUGGCCAGGAGUUCAAGUUCAUCGGCAGCUACUCAGGGCUUUUCCCCAAGUUCUCAAGGGGCCAGCACCUGCAGGUGGAACUUGUCCAUCCUCUCUCCAUCCCUUUUCCUCAGCAUUCCAAGAUCACCAUGUCUCUGCACCACUCAGUUCACAACCAUCAAGAUAAUGUAGUCAUUGAAUGGAACGGCAAGGAGCAGGUGGUGCUCUCCUCCUCCCUAAAGCUGGGGAAAGAUCAAGUGGAUGGUCAGGUGGCAUUUGUGCAUCCCUUCAACCUGUCCUGGAGCCACGUGGAAGCCAAGGGCCUGGCGGAGAGGAGAGGGAGCAGAUGCAAGCAACAGGUACAACUUGCCUGGAAUAGGGGGAAACCUGUCAACUUCCAGCUCUUCUGGGCAGAUAGGUCAGAAGCUAUCAUGACCAUCUGGGAAGGCUGCCUGACUGCAACCUCAGGACAGCUCCAGAAAUUCCUGCCCCUGAGCAAUCUCAAGGCCUGUGGGUCUGUAACUCAGACUGCAGUAGUGUUCAGCGAGCAUCUUGAUCUGUCCUGGGACAGCUGGAAAGUCAAACAGAAUCUGAAAUAUGAGAAACACCUGCCACUCCAGUCGGAUAGACUCCAUGCAGAAGUGACUCUAGAGAACAUCUUCCUUUCCUCCUGUCCCAAACAAAGCUUCCAGGGAGAAAUAGAGACUGACUACCUCAGUCGUCUCAGCCAUUCUCUCAGGCUGGGCCUCUGUAAUUUUUCCAGUGCUGUUGUGAUCUCUGGAGAACAUCUGCUGAGCCAAGGUAGCUUCAUGCUACAGUCCAAGAGCCUGUUCCGUCUUGCCCCAGAUCCUGGGGAUGGUUUGGUGUUGGUCUUAACCCUCAGGAACCACAGUACCCCAAAGACUCAAGACUUCUCUGGAGAGCUAGAGAUGAGGGCACCUGGAAAUCAGCAAGUGAGCCUGCUGGGAAGGGUCACUGAAUCAGCCUCUCAGAAGGUAGUCCUGCUACAGGGGAGCAUGGAAAGAGAGGAAAAGUUGAAGUUGACAGCUUCCCGGACUCCAGACUGUCUCCGAGCUUACCUAGCAUAUGGAAAAGGACCAAAAGAGGAGGGUGUGGAGAUCAGUGCCUGCUCUGACAGAAGGCAGGUGGCCAGAGCUGAGGCUGUAUUCCGCAUCCAAGGUGGGCAGAAUGAAUCCUUGGGCCAGCUGGUCCUCGAGGCUGCAAACCAGAGUCUAAGCCUGGCUGCCCGCGGCUGCAUCACUCCCCUGGGAAACGCGGAGUCCAAACUGGCCAAGGCCGGGUCUCACCUACAAGCCAGACUUGUGGAGAAGUUCCAAGUGUUUGACACCUACCUCCAGAAGUUCCGGGACCUGGUGCAACAGAUAGACUUUCUGGACAGUGCAGCUGGCUGGGUCCUGCAGAUGUCCCAGGAUGCUGUGAAAGCACUACAGGCAGGGGGUAGAGCUGCAGCUGGACUAUGGAGGCAAAGCUCAGCCAGGCAGCUGCUGAGACAUCACCUCCCUCUGCACCUGGAGAGGCUCCAGAUUCUGAUGGAACAGACGCAGAGUGAGCUGCAAAAGCCAUUAGCCACGCUGAAGGAUGCCUACUACGAAGUCACCCUCAAGCCCCUGGAUGAGGUAUGGCAGGAGAGGACCGAGGAGGCUCUGAGGAGGAUGCAGGCCUGUGUGCCCUCGGGGAUGGUGGACACCUGGCUCACGAGGCCAGUCCGGCUCUCUUUACGAGCUGUGAAAGGUGCCCUGGAUCUGGCUGCCCACCAGAUACUGAAGUGGGCAGAAGCCAAAUUCUCCAGAGCAAUAAGAAGACUACGGAAACCCUUGUCCAGCAUUUACAGCUUCUCUGCGAGGAAUUGCUCCGUGGUGAUAAGGCUUCCAGUGCUGCCAGGAGGGGAUCAGCCAAUGGACUUGGCCAAGGUGACCAACUAUCUCAUCGAAGAAAAAUUGCUGCAGCCCCUUCGUGAAUUGUACAGCAUCAACCUCCUGGCGGAAUAUUAUCGUAUCAAGCAUCGGCUGCUGGAGAACCCCUUUGAACACCAUGCCGUGAUGAUUGGGGACAGGCACGUGGUGACGUUCGAUGGGCAGGCCUAUGACCUUACCUCCAAAUGCAGCCUGUUGCUUGCCAAAGACUUUGCUCGGAACUCCUUCCUGUUUUUACUGAACCAGCCGAACACAGGACCCAGAUCCUUGUAUGUGGAAUUGAAUCACACAGCCUUUAUCAUCUACCCAGGACUAAAGGUCUACAAGAUAUAUGAUUCUUCCUUAAUAGGAGAGAACUGUCUGGGUUUUGAUCCUUUGCCUGACAAGGUCAGAGCCAAUGGGAGGAAAGAAGUUUAUAAAAUAGAAUUAUCCAAUGAGAAUGGUGCUAUGGUCUCCUGUGACAUUCAUUCUGAUAUCUGUAGUAUGACACUGGAUGGCUGGAAUCAUGGUAUGUCAGCAGGUAUCUUGGGCACCAAUGACAACGAGGCAGGCAAUGAUCUGUUGCUCCCAAAUGGAUCCCUGGCAGGCAAUCUGGAUGAAUUCACUGAGGCAUGGAAGAUGGAUAGUGAGUGCCAGGCCCAGAGAAGGAAAUCAGAGACCUGUCUCCAAGCUCCGUCCUUCAGACUCUGCAAAGCAUUCUUUUUGGAUGCCCACUCUGAGCUCCGUAAUUGCUUCCGAGUGGUAGAUCCUGCCCCGUUCUACAGUAUGUGCAUACGAGAUACCUGUGAGAUGAGUGAAGUCCAGGCUGCCUGUAACAUGGUCUCUGCCUACGUCCAUCUUUGUGGUCGAGGCUUUGUACCUCUGGCAAUUCCCCCUCGGUGUGCUUAAGAUUCUGCUCAGGGCCGCCCUGGGAUGACAAAGGAGAGCCAGCUCUUUCACCUUUUGACAAGUUCUAGCAUCCAACAACCAGUGGCAACUUUAUAGAGAAUCAUCCCUAAGGAGGGAGAAAAUGCAUCCCCAGGACACCCAAGAAAAUGAAGAAAAUGUCUAGCAUGCUAGCCCAUGGCCUGCUGAAGGGGAGCCAUUUAUUGUUUUAAGUAGCAUGGCCAAGGACAAGGGAGGUAGCCCUCCCCAACAGGUUUCAGAGAAGCUCUUCUUCCUUCACUGCAAGAGCCUAAGACGUUUCCUAUUCUGACCCAAAAAGCUCUCCUCUGACAGUUCAAAGUAGUUGUUUUACUCCAGGAUGAAGAGGAGAGAACAAUCUGCUUUGGUUGGAAAGAAGACUUAUUCAUUGCCUACUUAGUGAGCACCUACUACACAAAGCAUGGUAGUUCUGAAUCAGCUGUAAGGAAGUCUUACUUAUUAAUUCUAUUAACUCAGGUUUCUUCCAGAUGUAUUUUACCAUCAAAUUCUAUUUUGUGAUUGGCUUAAAAUCCUAUUAACUCAGGUUUCUUCCAGAUGUAUUUUAUCAUCAAAUUCUAUUUUGUGAUUGGCUUAAAAUCUUAUUAACUCAGGUUUCUUCCAGAUGUAUUUUACCAUCAAAUUCUGUUUUGUGAUUGGCUUUAAAAAAAUCACCUGAUUUGGCUUUCUUGACCUUACCUGUACCAACUUGUCAUUUCCUACUAGGGUUGCAUUUUGCUCAGGCAGCCAUAGUAUUUCCAAAAAGCGGAGAUCUCUUCAGAUUUUCUUGUUAUCAAGCUAUUUUUUAAAAAAAUUACUGUAAAUAAACUAGAUUUAAAUUUUGAGGUUUGGUGAGAACAACCUCCUGAAUUAAUAUUCAUGGAGAGCUCUCAAGUGAAUAGUAGCAUACCAUGAGCAUAGGUUUUUAUAACUUAUUCUGACCAUGACAUGGAAUAACAGGGUCCUGAUUUAUACUGUAAUCAAAAUUGUGAAUUUGAUUUAAUGUAAUUUCUUUAAUUUUGUUACUUAUUAAUAAAUUUGGUUGAAUCUAAGAACUUAUUUGUUUUGGGGAAUCUAUUAUUUAGUAAAAAUAAUUUAGGUUUAUGUGGUACUUUGAAUAUAUUAUUAAAUCAUGGAUUCUGACACCUGUGUAACCCUCUUGUUUUUAAUAAAUAAUUUAAUAAAAUACAUAGAAUUAUAAAGAAAACCAUUUUUGUCAAAAUAUAGCUAUCAAUUAUUAAAAGUUUAUGAUCUUCAAGUUAUGAACUUCUGUUUUAACUACCUUAAAUCCAAAGUGGAGAGUAUUAUCUCUCUUUUACAAUGAUGAAAUCAGCCCAGAGAGGAGGGACAUCUCAAGAUCACAUAGCUAGACCAGUAAGUGGUAGAGUUAAGCCUCAAACUCAGGAGAGUUCAGCAUGGCAUAUUACUGGGGUACUGAAUGACCUGACUUCAAAUCCCUGCUCAUAUAUUUACUAGAUAUAUGAUCCUAGUCUAGUCAGAUAUUCAAUUUCCUCAUAUGCAAAAUGGAAAUGGAGGAAAGAAGACUGGAUUUUGAUGGCUUCUAUGGUUAUUUCUAGCUCUAAACCUAUGGUGCUAUGAUUUAAGUCUGUGUUCUUUCCACUGUCAUGCCAGGGAAAUUUUUCUUUUGUAAAAAAUAAUUAUAAAUGAGGACUCAUUCCAUUGUACCCACUUAAGGUCAUGCUUUCAGAAUUUAAGAUUUCAAGGCAAAAAGAAUAAUAGGCUUAAGGCUUUCUCAUUUUGCAUUUCUGACAAAAGGCAAGGGACCACUUGGGAUUGCCUUUGUUUUCACUAUUAACUAGUUAAUUAUCAUUUAGGGGCUCCUGCUUUCCCCUUGGC